rnacentral:tRNA from 1 species
UCCCUUGUAGCUCAGUCGGUAAAGCAUCUGCCUGCAAUGCAGGAGACCUGGGUUCGAUUCCUGAGUCAGGAA